rnacentral:rRNA from 1 species
AACGUAGGAGGCGAGCGUUAUCCGGAUUUACUGGGUGUAAAGCGCGUGCAGGCGGUUCUGCAAGUGGGACGUGAAAGCGCCCGGCUCAACCGGGCGAGGCCGUUCCGAACUGCGGGACUGGAGGCAGGUAGAGGCGUGUGGAAUUCCGGGUGUAGUGGUGAAAUGCGUAGAUAUGCGGAGGAACACCGAUGGCGAAGGCAAUCCCCUGGGCCUGCACUGACGCUCAUGCACGAAAGCGUGGGGAGCAAAC